rnacentral:rRNA from 1 species
UACGUAGGGGGCAAGCGUUAUCCGGAAUUACUGGGCGUAAAGGGUGCGCAGGCGGUUGAGUAAGACAGAUGUGAAAUCCCCGAGCUUAACUCGGGAAUGGCAUAUGUGACUGCUCGACUAGAGUGUGUCAGAGGGAGGUGGAAUUCCACGUGUAGCAGUGAAAUGCGUAGAUAUUUGGAAGAACACCGAUGGCGAAGGCAGCCUCCUGGGAUAAUACUGACGCUCAGGCACGAAAGCGUGGGGAGCAAACAGG